GACCGACUUCACCUUUCUCCCCGACACCGAGUAUCGAUCACCAACGCCGUCUCGCCAUCCGGUGGCUUUCCGACGACGGACCACCACCAACUGGACCGCCUUGAGCUCCCUGACGCGUUCCUAGCAUUGGUUUCUUCGAUCGACGACCGUAGGAGGAGGAACGACGCCGAGAAGCUCCGAGUUCCUCCGGUGUGUCCAACGAAUUCCGGCGACUCCGACCGUCGUUGGGUUUUUCAUGAGGUAAGAUUCUUCAUCUCGUCUUCAAGACCUACAUGCUCUUGUUAUUGGAUUUCAAUUUCGAUCGAGUUCUAAUCGAUCUGCGAUUUUGGGAUUUCUGGGUUCGACAUUUUUGGCGUCACCGAUGAGUUUUCCGGCGCUACUGAGCCUCCGUACAACUAGAGAGAUGAUCAGACCUUCGUAAGCUUGGAUGAAAGAAUGGCAGUAAAGGAGGUCGGAUUAGCUGCUGCAUUUCGGAGGUGAAAGGAAGCAGAGAAAAGCAGCAGUAAGAGACUUGGUUGCUACCGAGCUACUCUUUGGGUGUAGAGAGUGGUUUUAGAGUUGGUCUCGCACAAUUUUUCAUAUGAUUUGGAAAAGUUGUUUGUCGAAAUGGGUGACCAUUGAGUUUGAUUGGAGCCAAAUUCCAGAAGUUGGUGAAGUUUGGAGUGCGUCAGUUGCUCUGUUCGUUGUUAAUUGAAGUUUGGAAAGCUGAUUUUGCUGAGUUUGAUUCUCAGAGGGACUCCAAUUACCCGAGGAGUGGAAGGCUCGUCGUUUUGGGAGUUCGCGAGGAAAGCCACGGAUUUCAGUUUGUGGAUGCAGGUACUGUGCACUAGGACGGGAUAACGGCGAGGAGUUGGGUGUGCAUAUUUAUGGUCGGUAACUUGGUUUCCAUGUCGUCCCCUUUAAUUUUGAACCUGAGCUACAUGUUAUAGAUUCUAUUAUGUUAGUCUUGUUAUGUCAUUCGUAAUUCUAUUCCUUAGAGUUGGUUAAUUAUUGGUCAUUUCUUAAAUCGAGUUUUAGGCGAAAGAAAGAGUUCAAUUUUAUUAUGAGUUUAUUUUAUGACGUUUUCUUUGGAGUUUGUGUUACUUUGAGUUCGUCAUUUCAUAGCCAUCCUUUAUAUCAGGUUUUUGGCGAAUAAAAAUACUCUGAGAAAAUAAAGAUUUUACACCUGAAAAUAUUUUUACGCUUAUGUUGUGUUUUUCUUAAAUGUUUUCUUACAUUAACUGUCGUGCGUUUCUCCUUUUGAGACUCACGGCACUGUGAUUUGCCUAAAGUGAGGAGGUGCAGUUUGGGGCGUUGCAAUCUCUAAUUAUUAGAUACACAUUUCAUAUUUAAUCGAUUAUUGGGAACCAUUGCAUAAUAUUCAUAUGCGGUGUCAACAUAUCGGUACUUGAUUCAAACUAAAAAUUAAAAAGUGUUUGAAGUACAAUAGUUAAUAUAGACGUCUUAAACGAGAUAUUUUAUUUUAACUAAGUUUCUUUAUUUUUGAUAUGAAUGUCUUUUUUGGUAAUUUUACGUAAUCUAUAUAAUUUGUAUAAAAAAAAAAGAUGUAUAUCUAGUAUUUAGGGAUGUGUUAAUAAAAUGAGUCCGGUUCAAGGGACACAAUUUUUGACACAAAUUUUGACAUUAUUUUUUAACCCUUGGAUCUUUGUUGAUCACAUGGUUGUUAUUGAUUGUUAAUAUGAUUUGGCAACUGACAUGACAAUAAUAAUAUUUUCAAUAAAAAAUGUAAAUAAAUUUUAAUCAAACAAUUCUUUUAUAAAGAAAAUCAAAUUAAUAAAUUCGUUUACAUAAAUUGAACUGCAGAUCGAAGAACAUUCAUCUCAACCAAAAAUGAUAAGUCCAAAUUCUCUUCAAAUAAAACACCGAAUUUGAGGUCAUAUCAACGUAUAAAUCCAUAUCUUCUUAUC